AUGCUCUAUUUGAUGUCAAUGAGAAAAAUUUACCUCAAUUUUCCAUAUCUAAACUUUUUUUUUUUUGUAGUAUCUAUAUACACUUUGAUUGUUAGAGAGGGUGUGGAUAACUCUAAACAAAGUGAUGAGUAUAUAAAUAUCAAAGAACAAUUUAAGAACUAA